GGCCCAGCGUUUGGAGCCGCCUCUCUCCAACUCGCUUUGCUGCACGUGGGCGGGGCGUCUGACCACGUGAUCACCGCGUAGGUCCCCGGAGGAGGAGGCUGAGAGUGUGUGACCCGCCCAAGGGCUCCCAGACAGAGGCACGCUCUCUCAGCCUCAUCCCUCCCUGGAGGAGGGUCAGCCUGCUCUGGCCUCCAGCAAGAGGCCUGGGAGCCUUCCCUGCGACGUGUGACACGGAGGCUCUUCCUUGGUGCCCCUGGCCUGGCCUGGCCUGCCUUCAGCUCUGUGGAGAAGGGUCCAAGAUAAAUCCCUGAAUCUGGGAGGAAAUCAAAGUCCAUCCUUCGGCCUCCGAUCCUCCAUCUGUUCCUCGAAGCAGUCCCCCGUCCGGCCCGGCUGAGCGCCCAAACCACAGCCUCCGGGGCUCCCCUGGCCUUUGCUGUCCACCAAGAGAGAGAGAUCAAGAAGACUUUCCGGCAGGAAGAGCAGGCGGGAGAGGUCAGCCUGGCCUAAUUUGCAGGGGCAUUGCAGUGAAGCCAGAGCAGAAAGGGGCUGCCUGGAGCCUCUUAGGAGACAGGGAGGAUGCUGCAGGGUGAGCCCCACCACUUGUUCAGAAGGGCCACCUUCACCUGGCACCCCAGAACCCAUCCUGGCACACACACGCCCCGGACACCGGAUCACAGCUCCCAUUGAAGCAGAGGAGGCAGGACAAGAGGCAGCCCUCCCCGAAAAGGCCGGCCGGACAGGGCAGCUGACACCUGUGGGGAAGGAAAGAGGGAGGUGAGAACAUGUGGGGCCACUGCCCCAUAGCAAAGAAGGCCCUGCUGCUGCUGCCAGACCAGCCCCAGCAUUUCCGUUCCUCCCCGUCUGCCCCCAUCCUUGAGGAACAGACAGGCCACUGACAGGACCUGCAUGACGGUACCCCCAACCUUUGCAAGGGGGGCACAUGCAUCUCCCACCUGGCCCCCAUGAGGCCUGCUUCGCAGUUUUGGCACUCUCCGGUCUCGGGGUGGCAAGCCUCCCCUCGACGGCAGCGGGGGCAAGACAGGCUGCAGUUCUCCCCAUGGCGUCCCGGGGGGCACGACUCUUUGCAGUGAGUCCCAUUCCAGCCGGGGGCACAGGCCGAGCAGGAGCCAUCCAGCGGGGAGCAGGCACCGGGCUUGCAGUGGCCACAGCUGGUCAGGAGGGGUCAAAAGAGAGAGGGGGCCUGAGAUGGGGAGGGAAGCUCCACCAACACCCCACAUUUGCCUCAGGUUAUGAGCAGCAAUGUCAGUCCCCAAAAGUGACGAGGGAACCACGUUGAAGGAUGCAGGCUUUCUAGCAAGACAGAGCUCUGCAUCCAACCAGGAAGGCCAGGGACCUCUGGCCAACCACAGAAGGACACAGUGACGGGGAAAUGAGGGGUCCCUCCCAUGCUGAGGACCCCUUACCUAUGUGCACACUGCAGCCCGAAGGUCCCUGCUGGGCACAGAUCCGAGCAGCUCUGUCCCCGGUAGCCAGGGUGGCAGGUGCACCGCCCAUCCUGGGCAGCACAGCUGCCGUGGGGGGUGCAGGGGCACCGGUGCUGGCAGGCCGCCCCCCAGAGCCCUUCCUGGCAGUGGCAGCGGCCGGACUCCUGGGCACAGGGGGAGCCAUUGCAGUAGCAGCGCGAGGCACAUGUCCGGCCCCACCAGCCCCGAAGGCAAUGGCAGCGGCCGGUGGUUGGGUCGCAGCGGGAGCCCCCCAGGAAGCAGGGGCACGGUCGGCGGCAAUCGGGGGCCCACCAUCCUGGGUCACAGCGGCAGGCCCCAGUAAGCGGGUGGCAGUGUCCAUGGGGGCCACAGAGACAGGACUCCCGGCAGAGGGGUCCCCACCAGCUGGGGGCACAGUAGCACUCUCCGCUGGAUGGGUUGCACUUUCCAUUGGGGAAACAGAGGCAGCUCUCUUUGCAGUCAGGACCCCAGUAUUGGUCAGGGCAUCCUGGAAGAGGAGGGAGGGCAGGCCGAGGGUCAGGUGGGCAGGAGGGACCCCGUGGCAUCGCUUGUAGUCCUUCUUGAAGCCCCACAAACUGGGCCACUCCUGCCUGUCCAGCCCUCCUUGACCCCCUAACGGCCAAAGCAGCGGCAGAAAAUAGGGGUCAAAUCUGAAGGACGCCUUUUGAGCUCAGCCUCAUGAAAGUGGUGAGGCCAAACGACCCCUGCUCCUUUUCCAUCUGGGUCUCCUUUGUCACCCCUCCUCUCUCUCCCCUGGGACCCAAGACCACACUCACGUCCCGUACAGUUGGCCCCAAAGAAGCCAGGCCGGCAGCGGCAGACCCCGGGGCGAACACAGACCUCGUCCUGGUGGCAGGCGUCGGGUCCCGUGCAGAGCGCUGCCAAAGGCCCAAGGAGAGAGCAUGGUGAAUUGAGGCCCCUUACCCAAGGGCAAAGGGCAGGGAAACAGCAGAGGCCCACCUGCAUAUGUGCCAGCCUGUUUGCCCCACCUGUGCUGCUCCUUCCUUGCCCUCAAGCAUGGCUGGGGGAAGAGCUUGGGAGGGUUUCCUGGUGGACUAAUUGUCCCAGAAUCCCCAACAGCCCAGAGCUGGGGUGCCAAAAGGCAACAGUUAGUCCCUUGGUUGCCAGACAGAGAGGGGCCCUCCUUACCCACUGGGCAUUCCCGGCCCUCUUGCUUCCAUCCUGGGCAGCAGGAAAGGACUGGAGGCUGGCUGGAGGUGGAAGAGAGAGAGGGGAGGAAGGGGGCCCAGUGAGCAGGCAAAAGGGGCCCACCACCACCACCCCAGAUCCCCAGCCUGGCUCUUGGAUGUCCCCCCUUUCCCCCAUCAUCUCUUAUUCUGGAAGUGCCAUAACUGUGUGUUUUGCUUCUGAGCAGAGCUUUCCGGGAGGAAACAGCAAACCAAAGCAGCCUCUGUGCCGGAGGAGGGAGGCCAGGGAAAGGCUGUUGGCGCCUGGCUGGGAAGCUCAGGGCACCAUCCUGCCCCACGGGGCCAUGCCCCACAGAGUUGCUGGGGGGGGGGGGACUGGAUUUGUCCCUUGUAUAGCUUCCUUACAGCUCUCUCCCUUGAACGCUGAGCAGCCCCUUAAAAAGACGGGAUGCAGCCGUGAUACCACAACGCAACAGCCAAGUGUGGAAGGGACGUGACGGAUCAUUCCCUGCCCUUCGGACAAUAAAUACUGUUAAGUUUUGGUUUAUGAUUGCGAAUAAGGAGGUUCUGGAAAGAGCUCCAGCCAGACUUGUGGCGAAGGCUUCUGGGGUUUGGCCGCAGAGAGUGGUGAACUAGCUGGACUAGCUGCGCUUCAUGGUCCCUUCAGCACUUCUGGGAUUCUCAGGUUGGUUUCCAUUCAUUGACUUAAUGAAAUAAUCCCACCGACUGACUGACCCUCCUGAACCCCGUGUGGAAGGCAUGCGGAAGGAUGGUAUUCCUAGGGAAGAUCCAGGGCGAUUCCUGUGCUCUCCUCCUUGUAUCUUGAAGAGUGAUGUGUGAAGCAUGUUAUUUGCUGUGCUAUCUUGGUGACUGUUUAAAUAAAGAGCAAUGAGAGUUCUUUGUUUUUAUGCAAGAGAGUCAUCUGUAACAACUGCACUGCACCACUUUAUUUUAUUUCUGUAAAUAAAGACACUAGUGACA